AUUGAACGCUGGCGGCAGGCCUAACACAUGCAAGUCGAGCGGAGCGGCGGACGGGUGAGUAAUGUCUGGGAAUCUGCCCAUUAGUGGGGGACAACCUCUCGAAAGGGAUGCUAAUACCGCAUACUAAUAGAUUAGCCUAUGUCGGAUUAGGUAGUUGGUGGGGUAAAGGCCUACCAAGGCGACGGUCUGUAGCGGGUCUGAGAGGGUGAUCGGCCACACUGGGACUGAGACACGGCCCAGACUCCUACGGGAGGCAGCAGUUGGGAAUAUUGGACAAUGGGGGGAAGCCUGAUCCAGCCAUGCCGCGUGAGUGAAGAAGGCCUUAGGGUUGUAAAGCACUGUUAGCGAGGAAGCGUUACCCGCACAAUAAGCACCGGCUAACUCUGUGCCAGCAGCCGCGGUAAUAC
rnacentral:rRNA from 1 species